GAGAGGUCAAGGCGCCCGCGCGGGAGGUUCGAUUUCCCGAGAGAAGAAGACGAUCGAGAGGGACAAAUCCAGAAGAAGAACGAGAACCACAAACAGAAACUGAAGAAUUGACGAAGAUCGUGCGAAAUAAGAGGUUGCUACGAAGCAGAAUCGAAACGGUGUCUGAGGGUGAAUCGAAGUCCAACUCUGCAGUUUGCUCUUCAGAGGCAAAAAAAUAAGUUUGAAACGACGCCAUUGUCUGCUUCUCUGGAGUAAUUUAGCGAAACCUUUGAAUGGAAGAGGCGAAAGAAAUUUUGAAGGAUAACAGGAUCGAAGAUGUCAGUUGGCUGUGUUCGCUAUCUGAAUCGGAGCUUGACAUGCUAAUUAGCAUUAAAAUGCUAGUUCUCCAACGUGCAAAAAUGAUUGGCCAUGAAGCUCUUGCUGAGAAAUUUGAUCUGAAGACACUACGUGCUAUUGGGUUUGCCUUGAUGGAACAUCUUAAAGGACAACUUAGGGCGUCAGAUGUUCCAGAUCAGUCUCAGUCUGCUGCCUUAAAUGGAUGCAACUUAUUAGACUGCAGUCUUGAGAAGAUUUUGUCAAUUGAUGAGAUAAUGGCAAGUGUUUGUUCUGACAGAAGGAAGAAACCUGGAAAAAGAAUUUCAGCCCUAGACAGGAAGUUGGACAGAAGAACUUUCUAACCGUCGACCUUUUUUUUCUCUUGGUGCCUUGAGCGAUUGGGUUCAUUCAAUGCUAUCAGUCAAAUUCUUUGCUUUAAUGCUGAGUUUUUUGGAAGAUGCCGCGACAAAAGGCUGAUUCCAGACAGAAGAACGAGAAGUUGUGAAUUAUAAGACACUAGAAGUAGAAACAGAUUCGUGUAGGUUGUCUCAACUCUUGCCGACUUGUCGGCACAAUGCAGCUUUCCACGUUGCAAGAAUUGGCGGUAAUCUUCACAAUAGCUAUGGUCAUAACGAAGAAUUUUGUUAGCUUUGAUCGCCAGUGAGUGUUAUGGCAUCAAAUUGUAGUCUAUCAUGGCGUCAAUCUGUAAUCAGGCUCCGCAAAAGUUUUGUUUAUAGAUUUUUCCUUGUUCCCGUACUCUUAAAAGAUUAUCUAUUUUUUCAAUUUAGUUGAUCUAGGGAGAUACCUCCCUGCAAGCCAUUGUAAUAGUAUACGAAGCAAAGGAACCAUUAUGAACAAUGUUACGAUUUCAUUAAUUGUUAGAGAGCCAGAUCUUAUCUUUAUGAA